rnacentral:rRNA from 1 species
ACGAACGCUGGCGGCGUGCUUAACACAUGCAAGUCGAACGGAAAGGCCCUGCUUUUGUGGGGUGCUCGAGUGGCGAACGGGUGAGUAACACGUGAGUAACCUGCCCUUGACUUUGGGAUAACUUCAGGAAACUGGGGCUAAUACCGGAUAGGAGCUCCUGCUGCAUGGUGGGGGUUGGAAAGUUUCGGCGGUUGGGGAUGGACUCGCGGCUUAUCAGCUUGUGGUGGGGUAGUGGCUUACCAAGGCUUUGACGGGUAGCCGGCCUGAGAGGGUGACCGGCCACAUUGGGACUGAGAUACGGCCCAGACUCCUACGGGAGGCAGCAGUGGGGAAUAUUGCACAAUGGGCGGAAGCCUGAUGCAGCAACGCCGCGUGCGGGAUGACGGCCUUCGGGUUGUAAACCGCUUUCGCCUGUGACGAAGCGUGAGUGACGGUAAUGGGUAAAGAAGCACCGGCUAACUACGUG